GUCCACUUCUGCAUUAUCACAGCACACAGCCCUUAUGCUGAAGCAAAGGAGUUCCAGGAAGGAGAGAAAAGAGAAAUGGAUGUUUGUUCUUCUCAAUUGUGUACCUCCAUGAUCCGCUCUGCAGACGGAGAAAUGGACUUGCCCAAGAGGCAGCGCCAUCCUCAUGGAAGGGAAUGGGCUUUAAUUUGUUAUCCAUGACAACGUGGGGAAGUGCCAAGGAUCUGCAUCAGGAAUGGCACUAAGCUCCAAGGAAGAAGUGAGGACGUGGCAGCAUCCAUCUCAACCCAAUACUAAGACCAACAUGCCACUCUCCCCCUAUACCUGCAAGAAGAAAAAAAGUGAUUUCUACUCCCAGACUGCCAUAAUAAAUAAAUGAAUAAAUAAAUAAAUAAAUAAUAACAGA